rnacentral:rRNA from 1 species
GAGCACGUAGGUGGGUUUGUAAGUCAGAUGUGAAAGCCUUCUGUUCAACGGAAGAAUUGCAUCUGAAACUACAAACCUUGAGUAUAGGAGGGGAGAAUGGAACUUCUGGUGGAGCGGUGAAAUGCGUAGAUAUCAGAAGGAACGCCGGCGGCGAAAGCGAUUCUCUGGCCUAUUACUGACACUCAGUGUGCGAAAGCUAGGGGAGCAAACGGGAUUAGAUACCCCGGUAGUCCUAACCGUAAACGAUGGGCACUAAGUAGAGGGGUUUU